AGUGAACGCUGGCGGUAGGCCUAACACAUGCCAGUCGAACGGCAGCACAGUAAGAGCUUGCUCUUACGGGUGGCGAGUGGCGGACGGGUGAGGAAUACAUCGGAAUCUACUUUUUCGUGGGGGAUAACGUAGGGAAACUUACGCUAAUACCGCAUACGACCUACGGGUGAAAGCAGGGGAUCUUCGGACCUUGCGCGAUUGAAUGAGCCGAUGUCGGAUUAGCUAGUUGGCGGGGUAAAGGCCCACCAAGGCGACGAUCCGUAGCUGGUCUGAGAGGAUGAUCAGCCACACUGGAACUGAGACACGGUCCAGACUCCUACGGGAGGCAGCAGUGGGGAAUAUUGGACAAUGGGCGCAAGCCUGAUCCAGCCAUACCGCGUGGGUGAAGAAGGCCUUCGGGUUGUAAAGCCCUUUUGUUGGGAAAGAAAAGCAGCAGGUUAAUACCCCGCUGUUCUGACGGUACCAAAAGAAUAAGCACCGGCUAACUUCGUG
rnacentral:rRNA from 1 species